CGGUCCUAAGGUAGCGAAAUUCCUUGUCGGGUAAGUUCCGACCUGCACGAAUGGCGUAACGAUCUCCACACUGUCUCGGCCAGAGACUCGGUGAAAUUGCAGUCGCGGUGAAAAUUCCGUGUACCCGCAGAAAGACGGAAAGACCCUGUGCACCUUUACUAUAGCUUGACAUUGGAUUUUGGGCCUGCAUGUGUAGGAUAGGUGGGAGGCUGUGAACCCUGUACGCCAGUAUGGGGGGAGCCAUCCUUGAAAUACCACCCUUGCAUGUUUAAGAUCCUAACUUCUUCCGGUUAUCCCGGAGAAAGACAGUGUCUGGCGGGUAGUUUGACUGGGGCGGUCGCCUCCUAAAGUGUAACGGAGGCAUGCAAAGGUUCCCUCAGCCUGAUCGGAAACCAGGCGCUGAGUGCAAACGCAUAAGGGAGCUUGACUGUAAGAGAGACAUCUCGAACAGGAACGAAAGUUGGCGUUAGUGAUCCGGUGGUCCCGAAUGGAAGGGCCAUCGCUCAUUGGAUAAAAGGUACGCCGGGGAUAACAGGCUGAUCGCAUCCAAGAGUUCACAUCGACGAUGCGGUUUGGCACCUCGAUGUCGGCUCAUCACAUCCUGGGGCUGUAUUCGGUCCCAAGGGUUCGGCUGUUCGCCGAUUAAAGUGGCACGCGAGCUGGGUUCAGAACGUCGUGAGACAGUUCGGUCCCUAUCUGUUGCGGGCGCAGGAAUAUUGAGAGGAGCUGUCCUUAGUACGAGAGGACCGGGAUGGACGUACCGCUGGUGCACCAGUUGUUCUGCCAAGGGCAUAGCUGGGUAGCUAAGUACGGACGAGAUAAACGCUGAAGGCAUCUAAGCGUGAAACUCCCCUCGAGAUAAGUGUUCCCAUCCUUCGGGAGUAAGGCCCCUUGUAGACUACAAGGUUGAUAGGUCAGGAGUGGAAGUGCAGUAAUGUAUGGAGCGGACUGAUACUAAUAGGCCGAGGGCUUGACCUU
rnacentral:rRNA from 1 species